rnacentral:rRNA from 1 species
AUUGAACGCUGGCGGCAUGCCUUACACAUGCAAGUCGAACGGCAGCACGGGUGCUUGCACCUGGUGGCGAGUGGCGAACGGGUGAGUAAUACAUCGGAACAUGUCCUGUAGUGGGGGUUAGCCCGGCGAAAGCCGGAUUAAUACCGCAUACGAUCUACGGAUGAAAGCGGGGGACCUUCGGGCCUCGCGCUAUAGGGUUGGCCGAUGGCUGAUUAGCUAGUUGGUGGGGUAAAGGCCUACCAAGGCGACGAUCAGUAGCUGGUCUGAGAGGACGACCAGCCACACUGGGACUGAGACACGGCCCAGACUCCUACGGGAGGCAGCAGUGGGGAAUUUUGGACAAUGGGCGAAAGCCUGAUCCAGCAAUGCCGCGUGUGUGAAGAAGGCCUUCGGGCUGUAAAGCACUUUUGUCCGGAAAGAAAUCCUUGGCCCUAAUACGGUCGGGGGAUGACGGUACCGGAAGAAUAAGCACCGGCUAACUACGUG